AAACCCGCAGCCUCAUGGUUCCUAGUCGGAUUUGUUAACCACUGAGCCAUGAUGGGAACUCCCAGGAGAGCCUUUUGUAUUGAUUUAUCUAUCAAUUCACUUGGCUGCUCUGUAGGAUUGUAUAUAUGUAGUUAUCGACUUCUUGAUCAACUGCUCUCUUUCUUUUGACUUUUUACUUUUAUUUAUUCAUUUAUUGAGGUGCCAACUGUGACACUGGGGACUUGUCUGGCCAGGUUGUGAUCUCCAAAUGCAGCUCUUAUCACAGCCCCAGCAGUGACAGAGACAAGCUCAUAACCAGGCAGCCAUGAGGGAACUCCAUGAGAGCUUUCUCGAUAUCAAUAAACUUUGCCUAAUUCAUCAGACCUGGGUUUGGUCAGGCCUCCAUAGCCUGGUGUGGUAGUGAAACAGAGGCUUCUGUGGAAAGGCAAGGGGGAAGUUUCACUAGGUCUCUUGAAUGAAAAAAAGCAUAAGGAUUAGUACAGCCACCAGCCAAAAUACCACCGAAUUCCACCAUCCAUUCAUCAGCACCAGCCUAUAUCCUGAUACCUAAACCCGCGACAAUCGGGGGCUUGACAAUUCCCAGCACGUGAAUCAAAACAGAGAGUGUGUGGGUCCCAGCUCCUGCCUCUGGAAGAACAGAAGGCAAUCUGAAACCCAGUGAAACCCUCAAGCAUUCUAAAUGCUCUGCCAACUGACCAGGCUGCAAAUCCACAUCCAGUGCUGAAGAGACACCUGUUUCCUUUGCCUGACAUGAGGCAUCUUGGAGCAGAGUCACCAGAGCCUGGAAAGCCAUGCCAAACCUCUGACUGCUGGCUGGAGGUUCUACCAAAACCACCAUCAACCUCACCUCUGAGCCUGCACUCACAGCCUUGAAGCUGCACAGGGGUCCAGAAGGUACUAUGGCUCUGUCUUGGGGACAUCUGCUCUAACAGCAACUCUCAGGCUUUCCUCCUCUCUGGCUCAGCAGCCCCCGGGGCUGUAUUGGCCUUGGGCAAUAUGCAGGUCAGCUUCCUUCCCCCUCUUUCUUUAUUACUGAGAAGCGCCUGCCAAUAUGGGCUAUAUCUCUCUCAAAGUCUUUCAGAGCAGUGAGCCCAACUUAACUCCAAUCCUAACCCUAACCCUCUAAUCCUAACCCCAAACCCUAAGCCUCUAACCCUAACCUCUCACCCCAAGCCAAACCCUAACACCGAACCUGAUCCCAAAGCCCAACCAGAACCCAAACCCUGACCCCUAACCCCAACCCUAAACCCUAACCCAUCAGGUGCCUAUGGUUGUGGGAAUGGGCCUUGCUCCUCAGGUUCUGUACAAAGAGCAUGUGGAGUCCUGAGGGUCAAGGUAGACGUGGGGCUGCAGCUCUAGCUCAUUUUCUAAUUUUAUCUGGCUCACGAGUGGGAGACUAUUUCAAGAAGAUUCUCUCCUCAUGAGAGAAAUCCUGUAAGAAGGGAGAAGAGGGGAGGUGGGUGGAAACAGGGGCCGGGUACCCUGGUGCAUUGGAAGCCUCUGGAAGACCCACUGGAGGGAGGCUGCACGGAGAAACGUCCAGGGGCACAGACCUGCCCAGGAGCUGCUGUUAGUUCAGACACUGCUCUAAGGUGCUCAGGGUCCGCUCUAACAAGGGGGGCUGGGGGAGGGGUCUGCAGUGAGGUCUCUGUAUGUGGUUCCUGUGUGCUGGUCGCUGUCAGGGUGCCCGCCCAGGUGAGCUCCAUAAUCUGUGCAAGGCCUGCCCUCGUGAGCCCCAGGGGCUUCUGGGUUAUUGCUCAGGUGAGCUCCAUAUCCUGGGCAAGGCCUGCCCUUGUGAGCCCCAGGGGCUUCUGGGUUAUUGCUCAGGUGAGCUCCAUAUCCUGGGCAAGGCCUGCCCUUGUGAGCCCCAGGGGCUUCUGGGUUAUUGCUCAGGUGAGCUCCAUAUCCUGGGCAAGGCCUGCCCUUUUGAGCCCGGGGUGAUGAUGGGUUAUUGCUCAGGUGAGCUCCAUAUCCUGGGAGGAGCCUGCCCUCGUGAGCUCCAGGGGCUUCUGGGUUAUUGCUCUGGUGAGCUCCAUAUCCUGGGCAAGGCCUGCCCUUGUGAGCCCCGGGUGAUGAUGGGUGAUUGCCCAGGUGAGCUCCAUAUCCAAGGCAUGACCUGCCCUCGUGAGCCCCAGGGGCUGCUGGGUUAUUGCCAAGGUGAGCUGCAUAACCCGGGCAGGGCCUGCCCUCGUGAGCCCUGGGAACUGGAAGGGGCUUGUGAACAAGCAUCCUUUGCAGUUGGUACAGAGUUGUUUAGUGUGAUUCCUGGGGGCAUUGCUGGAAUGAAAUGAGAACCAGAAAGUGCUGCACGUCCUUGGACCCCCACCCAGACUCAUCCAGAGUGACAAGGUGAAAUGUGGAGCCUUAUGUUGAUUUAUUCUCCAAGAAACGGACAUCCCACUCCCACCAAGGGGCAAAUCCCUGUCCAGAGCACCCAGUCCUGCACCUCCUGUGUCAGUCUUGCCUUCCAGGGAGUUGUCUCAGCACUUCAGCAAGACAAAGAAAUGGCUGAGCCUGCUAGAACCAAGUGGGAGAAAUCUAUGAUAGAUAGAGCGACCAGGACCACUCCAGUCUAACACGUAGGACUCCAGUCAUUGAGCAAACAGACCAUUAUACCCAGUUACGCC